rnacentral:lncRNA from 1 species
UUUGUGAUUGUGAUGGUGAUCAACAACUAAAAUUGAAUAUAUGGCACUACAAAAUGCAAUAAUGGGCUGGGGCCUGAAAAAAAUAACCCAAUAUAGUACCGCGAAAUACAAUAAUGGUUCUUCGAUAGAUAGGCUAGGUCCCAGAAAAAAACGACCCAAUAUGGUGUGCAUCAAACAUUUUUCGGCCCAAAGAAUAGCGCAGAAACCUAAAAUGGGCUAAAAGUUGGGAUCAUAAAGGCUCUUACAUGGACUUGGCUUCAGUUUGGAACGAACCAAAAUCAUCAUAACACCCCUGCC